AGAGUUUGAUCAUGGCUCAGAUUGAACGCUGGCGGCAGGCCUAACACAUGCAAGUCGAACGGUAGCACAGAGAGCUUGCUCUCGGGUGACGAGUGGCGGACGGGUGAGUAAUGUCUGGGAAACUGCCUGAUGGAGGGGGAUAACUACUGGAAACGGUAGCUAAUACCGCAUAACGUCGCAAGACCAAAGAGGGGGACCUUCGGGCCUCUUGCCAUCAGAUGUGCCCAGAUGGGAUUAGCUAGUAGGUGGGGUAACGGCUCACCUAGGCGACGAUCCCUAGCUGGUCUGAGAGGAUGACCAGCCACACUGGAACUGAGACACGGUCCAGACUCCUACGGGAGGCAGCAGUGGGGAAUAUUGCACAAUGGGCGCAAGCCUGAUGCAGCCAUGCCGCGUGUAUGAAGAAGGCCUUCGGGUUGUAAAGUACUUUCAGCGGGGAGGAAGGUGUUGUGGUUAAUAACCACAGCAAUUGACGUUACCCGCAGAAGAAGCACCGGCUAACUCCGUGCCAGCAGCCGCGGUAAUACGGAGGGUGCAAGCGUUAAUCGGAAUUACUGGGCGUAAAGCGCACGCAGGCGGUCUGUCAAGUCGGAUGUGAAAUCCCCGGGCUCAACCUGGGAACUGCAUUCGAAACUGGCAGGCUAGAGUCUUGUAGAGGGGGGUAGAAUUCCAGGUGUAGCGGUGAAAUGCGUAGAGAUCUGGAGGAAUACCGGUGGCGAAGGCGGCCCCCUGGACAAAGACUGACGCUCAGGUGCGAAAGCGUGGGGAGCAAACAGGAUUAGAUACCCUGGUAGUCCACGCCGUAAACGAUGUCGACUUGGAGGUUGUUCCCUUGAGGAGUGGCUUCCGGAGCUAACGCGUUAAGUCGACCGCCUGGGGAGUACGGCCGCAAGGUUAAAACUCAAAUGAAUUGACGGGGCCCGCACAAGCGGUGGAGCAUGUGGUUUAAUUCGAUGCAACGCGAAGAACCUUACCUACUCUUGACAUCCAGAGAACUUUCCAGAGAUGGAUUGGUGCCUUCGGGAACUCUGAGACAGGUGCUGCAUGGCUGUCGUCAGCUCGUGUUGUGAAAUGUUGGGUUAAGUCCCGCAACGAGCGCAACCCUUAUCCUUUGUUGCCAGCGGUUAGGCCGGGAACUCAAAGGAGACUGCCAGUGAUAAACUGGAGGAAGGUGGGGAUGACGUCAAGUCAUCAUGGCCCUUACGAGUAGGGCUACACACGUGCUACAAUGGCGCAUACAAAGAGAAGCGACCUCGCGAGAGCAAGCGGACCUCAUAAAGUGCGUCGUAGUCCGGAUUGGAGUCUGCAACUCGACUCCAUGAAGCCGGAAUCGCUAGUAAUCGUAGAUCAGAAUGCUACGGUGAAUACGUUCCCGGGCCUUGUACACACCGCCCGUCACACCAUGGGAGUGGGUUGCAAAAGAAGUAGGUAGCUUAACCUUCGGGAGGGCGCUUACCACUUUGUGAUUCAUGACUGGGGUGAAGUCGUAACAAGGUAACCGUAGGGGAACCUGCGGUUGGAUCACCU
rnacentral:rRNA from 1 species